rnacentral:lncRNA from 1 species
GUCUGGUUUCUAUGAUUUCUGUCGUAAUUUUGCAAUCCUGGUAAUAUUUGAAAUAUUUAACAUGCAUAACACAUUAUAGCUUCCCAGAAUUUCCACACUUCAAGGGAACUUGGGACUACAAAACACUUACAAAUCGUUAUCUUACGACCAAUAUUGAAUUAAGCAAAUGACAUUCCAAUUCAUAACCAUGGUUCUAUUAAAUACUACGAGCGAUUGGAAAUCAAUUGAGAUCUAUUUAUAUGUCUUUUUUCAUUCUUUUUUAUCAUUUUAGUUUUCGCAAAUUGUUUCGUUUAUACUUCAAAAUCUCAUUCACUUUGUGAACUAGAGAUACAAGACAUUCCUUCGCCAUUACAACAACAAGUGCAAUUAUCAAGGGUAACAUAAAAUCGGUGUUUCUACUGGAAACAAUAGCACCAACAAGAUUAGCAAAUGGUUACCAAAAACAUUAUACAUUCCAUUAUACAUUUCAUUGUAAAAGCAUUUGUAAUUAACGGUCUGACGGUUUUCUUAUUGUAAUUCGUAAAAUUAAAUAAAAAAAAAAAAUCUAACAAAUCUUUUCUUCUAUCGAGCAUUCCGAAUCAUAUUAAUUCCUACAGGAGCACACGUUUCAGUCCAAAGUAAGUGUUUGACAGCUAUAAAGCUGGAACAUGACGAUUAUUUUGAUCACGUUUUAAUUGUACAAUCUCUUUUUGAAUUUUGUAGGCGUUCAAUACAAUUCAAUUAAAUAAAUGAUUGGUUUGAAAUCUGUGUUACGUUUUCCUAUUUGAAGAAGUUCUUAAAAGUUAGCUGAGAAUAAAGUUAUAUAUUCGAUAAUUAAAAGUAUACAUGGUUGUGCAUUAGAGACCCCAAAACAAAGUCGUGCGAAUUAUAUUAUGAUUUGUUUGUUU